GUCGUGUUGCUGUAACAGGGUUUAAAGUAGGACUAACAGAGGAGCAGCACUGUCUGUACGCAGAGUGUUAUUAUACUGUCAGGAAGAGCAGUGUCAUGAUAUUACAUAAGAGGGAUAUUACCGAGUGUUUGCAGCACGCAGACCUGUAAUUAAGAUCCCUGCUGCUCUAUAAACCAGAGAUGCUCUGACACUUUAUCAUAUAAUCUCAUCAUCUGCAGACGGACUUUCUCUCUCUGUAAACUCGAACCCUUUGUUUGUUUGUUUUUCUGUGCAGCUCAGCUCCAGCCUGUUUUUGUUUCCACUGUUGGUUUUUCACACCUGUUGAUCUCAGUUUUUAAAGAAGAGGUCACUCAGGAGUAAAACACAACCUUUGUUUACCACAGAUUAAACACAGAUCAUCCACUUUCUGAGCGGACCGUCUUCUCCGAUGAGCCGACUCUGCAGCCUGUUAC